rnacentral:lncRNA from 1 species
GCUGGGGACGCUGGACUCUGGAGUGAAAAUGACCCACGCUCUCCUCUGCUCCCGUUUUCACCUUGGGCAUCAUUGUCAUCAUCAUUAUGAGCAGCAGCCGGAAAAGCAUUAAUGGAGCACCUGCUGUAUGCCAGGCCUUGCGCCUGCUGCGCUUGUAACGGCAAUUCUCAUGCAGCCUGCACAGCAGCCUGUAGCCUGUUUCUAUUGUUAGCUGAGGACACCCAGGCUUAGAAAUGGAGUCACCUGCCUGGUGUCCCCAGCUGGUGAGGGCUUGGGCCAGGUGCACCCUGUCUGUUUGACCCCAAAGCCAGGGCUCAGCACCGCUGGGCAGAUGAUUACUGCAAUGUCACACAUAAUGUGAAAAUUGGGAGGCGCUGAGGAAGCCUGAGGCACUGGUCCCUUUCUUCUGGUGACAUGCUGGGUGACUUUGGACAGAUCUAUCAACCCCUCUGAGUAUUCGAUGUCCGUCUUUGCCAGUCGGCUGAAGCUGGGAGACCGAGUGCCUGCGGGGAGCCUCCAGCCCCCAGUUCCUUUCAAUCAUCACCAGCGUGCCUCACACUUACCACCAGGUGGCAGCAGAGGACUUGCCUGGCCGCCGAGACCUUGGCCGCAGGAGACUUGCCGAACCUCAGCCUUAAAGGUCACCUUCACUCUUCAAGACAGUGGGAAGCGGCCGCAGCAAACAUCCGCAGAGGGCCUGGCUCCGGGAGCCUCUGGACUGCGUGCUGCCAAGCUGUGGGAGACCCACCCUGACCCCCGGGGAGCUAGUGUCCAGCAGGGGAGACUGAGAUGGGAAGACACAAAAGCCGUGCUGGAAGCCAGCGGUGUUUCUUUACCAUGAGCAGUUUUGGGGUUUCAUUUGCUUGUGUGUAAAAUCACUUGAAAAAGGAGGCGUCACUGUCUGGAAGGCCAGGGCUGUGCUGGGGUCCCUGGGGGCUCUGGCGGGGUUUCCUCCGCGCAGAAUGACGUCACUCCCCGGCUUCCGGCCCAGGUCAGCUCUUCCUAGGAAGCCUCUUGUGAAGAGCAGCCCCCGUCCCGCCCACAUCCGCAGAGGCCUGUGAGUGGGGCAGGGCGGUCGCCGUUUGCACACAGCAGCAUCUGGAGGGAUGAGCUCGCCUGAUUCCAUGCAGAAUCGAACUCAGCUCCGUGGUUCACACUUGUUUCCAGAGAUGCCAACAAGCUGCUCUUCCCCGAGUCCCCGCAGAGUUGGAAUCUUGCUAUGUUGCCCAGGCUAGUCUUGAU